UAAGUCAGUAGUGAAAUCCUGGGGGCUCAACCCCUUACACACUAUCGAAACUGCGAAGCUAGAGGACGAGAGAGGUACUUGGAAUUCCUAGUGUAGGAGUGAAAUCCGUAGAUAUUAGGAGGAACACCGAUGGCGUAGGCAGAGUACUGGCUUGUUCCUGACACUAAGGCACGAAAGCGUGGGUAGCAAACGGGAUUAGAUACCCGGUAGUCCACGCCGUAAACGAUGCAUGCUA
rnacentral:rRNA from 1 species